rnacentral:rRNA from 1 species
AAGGCAGCAGGCGCGCAAAUUACCCAAUCCCGACACGGGGAGGUAGUGACAAGAAAUAGCGAUUCCGGGUCUUUAUAGGUCUGGUUAUUGCAAUGGACGUAUUGUAAAUGCCUACGUGAGUAUCCAUUGGAGGGCAAGUCUGGUGCCAGCAGCCGCGGUAAUUCCAGCUCCAAUAGCGUAUAUUAAAGUUGUUGCAGUUAAAAAGCUCGUAGUUGGAUUUCAGUCUUAGUUCGUCUGGCCCGCUCCCUUGAGGAGCCGAGUGCCGGUUGCGAACUGGACUUCCUUCUAGCAUGAAUCUCCUACCGUUAUGCGGCCGGGAAGGACAACUGGAUCAUUUACUUUGAAGAAAUUAGAGUGUUCAAAGCAAGCUUACGCUGUGAAUAUAUUAGCAUGGAAUAAUAACAUAGGACUCGGGUUCUAUUUUGUUGGUUUCUAGGACUCAAGUAAUGAUUGAUAGGGACAGUUGGGGGUGCUGCUAUUAUAUGGCCAGAGGUGAAAUUCACGGAUUCAUAUAAGAGCAACUUAUGCGAAAGCAUUCACCAAGGAUGUCUUCUUUAAUCAAGAACGAAAGUUGGGGGAUCGAAGACAAUCAGAUACCGUCGUAGUCUCAACCAUAAACUAUGCCGACUAAGGAUUGGUGAACGUUGAAAUUUCGACUCCAU